rnacentral:tRNA from 1 species
AAGUGGCUCAGUUGGUAGAGCAGCUGAUUCGUAAUCAGCAGGUCGUGGGUUCAAGUCCCAUCUUCA